GUAAUGAAACCUCCAUAGAAACCCAGAAAGAUGGUUCAGAGAGCUUCUGGGUUCGUUAGCACAUGGAGAUGGGGGUAGAGUGGCAAGCUUGGAGAGAGCAUGGAAGCUCCAUUCUCCUUCCCACAUACCUUGCCCUAUGCAUCUCUUCAAUUUGUCUGUUCCUGGUUUAUAUCCUGUUAUAAUAACCAAUAAUCUAACGGAGUUCUCUUUCUGCUUUGUGAGAUAAGACACCAAGUUUGGAUUCUCAAAUUUAGCCCACAGAUGACAAUUGGACCAUGGAAAGUUGGGGCAGCUUGGGGAGAAGUAAAGAACUGGAACUGCAACCACCCAUCCUCGGAGCUCAUUAGAAUCCACAGUCCUAAAGCACAGAGACUUGCGUGGAUCAGUGCAUGAAGCAUGUCAAGUUCAGCCAACAUCAUUCAACAGAUUUGCUUUAACUCUGCAACUGAUUUCAACUGUUCUUAUGCAAAUGUGUAGUCUCAUCAUCUGGACCACCAGCAAUCCUCUGCUCUCACUCUCACCAUUUCC